rnacentral:rRNA from 1 species
GAUGAACGCUGGCGGCGUGCUUAACACAUGCAAGUCGAGCGAAGUUAUUAUAGUGCUUGCACUGUAAUAACUUAGCGGCGGACGGGUGAGGAACACGUGAGUAAUCUGCCCUUAACAGGGGGAUAACACAAAGAAAUUUGUGCUAAUACCGCAUAAGCUCACAUAACGGCAUCGUUAAGUGAGAAAAGAUUUAUUGGUUAAGGAGGAGCUCGCGGCUGAUUAGCUAGUUGGUGGGGCAACGGCCUACCAAGGCGACGAUCAGUAGCCGGCCUGAGAGGGUGAACGGCCACAUUGGAACUGAGACACGGUCCAA